GUUUAUGGCCAUGCCACCCUGAAUAAGCCCGAUGUCUGAUCUUGGAAGCUAAGCAAGAUUGGGCCUGGUUAGUACUUGGAUGGGAGACCACCUAGGAAGACCAAGUGCUGCAGGCA
rnacentral:rRNA from 1 species